rnacentral:rRNA from 1 species
GACGAACGCUGGCGGCGUGCUUAACACAUGCAAGUCGAACGGAAAGGCCCUGCUUUUGUGGGGUGCUAGAGUGGCGAACGGGUGAGUAACACGUGAGUAACCUGCCCUUGACUUUGGGAUAACUUCAGGAAACUGGGGCUAAUACCGGCUAGGAGCUCCUGCUGCAUGGGGGGGGUUGGAAAGUUUCGGCGGUUGGGGAUGGACUCGCGGCUUAUCAGCUUGUUGGUGGGGUAGUGGCUUACCAAGGCUUUGACGGGUAGCCGGCCUGAGAGGGUGACCGGCCACAUGGGGACUGAGAUACGGCCCAGACUCCUACGGGAGGCAGCAGUGGGGAAUAUUGCACAAUGGGCGGAAGCCUGAUGCAGCAACACCGCGUGCGGGAUGACGGCCUUCUGGUUGUAAACCGCUUUCGCCUGUGACGAAGCGUGAGUGACGGUAAUGGGUAAAGAAGCACCGGCUAACUACGUG